UAGGGAAUCUUCCGCAAUGGACGAAAGUCUGACGGAGCAACGCCGCGCGAGUGAUGAAGGUUUUCGGAUCGUGAAACUCUGUUGUUAGGGAAGAACAAGUACCGGAGUAACUGCCGGUACCUUGACCGCACCUAACCAGAAAGCCACGGCUAACUACGUG
rnacentral:rRNA from 1 species